rnacentral:rRNA from 1 species
GUGGGGAAUUUUGGACAAUGGGCGCAAGCCUGAUCCAGCCAUGCCGCGUGCAGGAUGAAGGCCUUCGGGUUGUAAACUGCUUUUGUACGGAACGAAAAAGCUCUCUCUAAUACAGGGGGUGAAUGACGGUACCGUAAGAAUAAGCACCGGCUAACUACGUGCCAGCAGCCGCGGUAAUACGUAGGGUGCAAGCGUUAAUCGGAAUUACUGGGCGUAAAGCGUGCGCAGGCGGUUAUAUAAGACAGAUGUGAAAUCCCCGGGCUCAACCUGGGAACUGCAUUUGUGACUGUAUAGCUAGAGUACGGUAGAGGGGGAUGGAAUUCCGCGUGUAGCAGUGAAAUGCGUAGAUAUGCGGAGGAACACCGAUGGCGAAGGCAAUCCCCUGGACCUGUACUGACGCUCAUGCACGAAAGCGUGGGGAGCAAACAGGAUUAGAAACCCUGGUAGUCC